AGGCUUGUCAGCCAGUAGGCUUGUCAGCCCCUAGCGGCUGCUCCUUAUCUUAGUCUCUGGGCGUGAAGGAGACUGGCAGGAAGGCAGACCUGGCCAUAAACGUUGCCCUUUGCCCCCGCCCGCGGACUCGGGAAAUUGGAGUCAUUUCUGCCAUGUUGGAAAGAGGAGAGGCAGAGUAGCAUUGUGUUCUAAGAAAAUAUACUGAUGGAGACACCAAGUUUUGGUGAUGUUCAAGUGCCUUAAGAUGGUUAUGGAAAAGGAACAAAACAUGGGACUAGCAGCCAACUCAAGAGUAUGCUGACAAAUAAUCUAUUAGCAGAAGCCAAAAGAAAACAAAUAAAAAAAUACUAAUCGAGAGCUUACUUAGUAAAGCACGGAACAGCUGAUGGACUGCACCGCCCCCAGCUCCGCCCCCGGGGCCGCCCCAUCAGUUCCCAGCAGCCAAUGGGGAGAGAGGGGGCCGCGAGGCCGCCAGGGGAGAGGCUGUCACCAACGCACGUGACCUGGAGCAGAGACCCGGAGACUUUCUUAAGUUAGAAACAAGCCCGGGCAACAAAGAAGUGGAGAGCGAUGGUGGGUAGGGAGGGGAAGCUGUGGGGUAGUGCGGGGCUGGCGGCGAGGAGGAAAGUCUGAGAAGUCUGGACGUGAGGACCCUGCGCCUGAAGAGAAGGACAAGAAGCACUUUCUGAGAGAGCUCCCUUGAAUGUUACUUGACCAAGCCAGGGGAGGAGGGAGCCUUCUCGCGGUUCUUUCCUUCCACCAGCGACUAGGAGCAGGGGCUUUGUACAAAAUGAACUCUACCCUCCUUGGCUCCCUCAUCUUCCCGGGGUUGCCGAUCUCCAAGCUCCCUUUAUGAGGGGCCAGUGCAUGACUCUGGGGGACAGCAGGUCAAUCAUUGCAGAAAAGUGUGUGUAUCUGUGUCUUUGUGUGUGCGCGCGAGCCAGUCUGAGGCAUGCUACUCAUCACCAUUAAGAUAAAGGUCAGGCCUCACCUCCUUCUGGCAGACUGGGCCCAGAAAACUGUAAACAGUUGCCUCCACCUGGAAGCCCGUCGAAGUGUGUGGAAGGAGUUGGUCAGCCCAGGUGUAAAGGCAAAGGGGGUUACAAGAAACUCCCCCUCCUGCCUUAGAUUGUUUUUACCAACUUUGUGGCUUUGGGGCAAGCUUCUUACUUUAAGGCCUGUUUCCUCAUCUGUUAAAUGGAGUUUAAUUAUUUCACAAGGUAGUAACAAAAAGAUAAAAUAACAGUGGGCAUGGAAACAUUUGAAAAUAUAAAGUGUUAUACAAUAUAACAUUACUUUUUUACCUUGUGUAAGAAAGGAGUCUUAAGGGGUGGAGUUUGGAGCCUCACCUUUGAUACACCCUGGAGCAGGAAUGCCUACCACUAGAAGACUCAAAAGAGUUCUGGGACCACAUCACUGCAGCAGUAACUCGUUUAUAUGAAGAUUUGUAGUUAUAAAGCUUCAUAUUUCAACAUUCUCCUCACAACAAUCUUGUAACAUAGGUAGUACAAAUUCAAAUCCCAAUUUUAUAUAUAGAACUGGCAUAUCUUUGAAGUUCUAGCAUGCAUAAGAGCCUCAAUAAAGUCUGCUUAUUGGAACUGGAAUUUAUGGAAAUGCAAUGCAAUCUUAGCUCCAUCCUUGACUCUACUACCACAGAAAGGGCCCCAGUAGCAAAGUCACUUAAAGGAAUGUCUUAUUACUUUCUAGGCUGCAAGAGGAUUCUCUACCAUGCUUCUUCACCUCUUCAUCUUGAAGCCUCAAUCUGUUUCUGGAAUUCAUACAUUGGAAGUAUCUGUACUUUCAGGCCUCUGAAUAUCCUAAGGAGAGCCAGCAAGUGUCUCAUUGGUUUUCUGACUGCACUUGCCUUUCUUUACCACCUUCUGCCCUCCUCCUUUUCUUUCUUUUAUAUAUCGUUUUCCCCCUAUGAGAAAGUUGUUCUUCCUUUGUUUUGAAGAGAUCUAGUGACAGCAUGAAUGAUGUUUUUCCUAUGGAAAGAGAGCCAGGAAGUAUCUGAUAUCAGAUUUGAACCGAGGACCUCCCAUGAUACCUUGCUGCCUUUCACUAGAAAGGAGAGGUUCCAGCAUGGCAGUCAUGGGGUAAGCAUUCUCCCAUAAUACUUAUUGUUUGUCCCAUUCAAAUGGGCACUUUUGUUAUUAAUUUUUCACAUCUAUUUGUCUUUUCUUAAAGGUUAUUUUAGUGGAGCAGGUCAUACCUGCCAAUGAAGAAAAGCUUUGAGUUAGGCCUAACCUACAGUUGAGAUUUUUAUAGUCUUUUAUAGUCUUUUUAUUUUUAUGGUCUUUUAUAACCACAUGAACUCCGGUUGCCACAUUUGAUAUUAUUUCCUCACUUGUCUUCCCUAAAUCUAUGAGAAGGGUUCAGCAAUAGCUUUCUUUCAAUUUCACGUUUGUAUUAAAAGACUCACUACAAAAUGAUGUUGGUCACAUCCUAUAUGUCUGUUAUUUCAGGACCAACUACUGUAGCUAAAUUUAUCAGAUUUCAGCCACAGAAACUCUCAAAUAUUUAAUAAGUGACAGUCAAUAGUAUCAUUUAGCUUACUGUCUCUCAGAGCCGCUCAUGAAAACAUAGAUCUAGGCUGCACCCAACCCCCACAAAGAAAGAAAGAGAGAGAGAGAGAAAGGAAGGAAAGAAGAAAGAGAGAGAGGAAAGAAAGGAAGGAAAGAAGGAAGGAAGGAAAGCCCAAAAUUUAGCAUGGCUAAAAACAAAAUGCAAAAGAACUCUUACUAGAAUGAGACCUGGAUUCAGGAUCUGAGGCCCUGGGACUUGAAUCACUACCAAGUUACUUACUAUCUAUAUAACCCUGAGUGAUUUAUUUAGCUUCAAUGGGCUUUAUUUUCCUUAUCAGUUAAAUGAGGAGAUUGUAUUAGGUGCUUUCUAAGGUUCCUUCUAGCUCCAAAUCCAAUGAUCUUUUAUGUUGUAAUAAAAAGAUAAAGCUAAACAAAAUAGUCCUAGCACUGGCCUUUUUAUGGUAAUUGAGUCUGCAAACUUAGAUAAUUUUCUUUCUGUUUGCUCAAGUUCUGAUUCAUAACUUUCCCAGCUCACACUUAUCUAGUAUAUGCAAUUUAAUAGAUAGGAUCUCAAAUAUCUAGGAGUAGCAGCAGCUAAGGAGCAGAGUAGAUAGAACACCAGGCCUGAAGUAUACUUAGUAUUACUUAGCAUCAAUUUUAAGACAGAAGGUAAGGGUAGGGGGCAAAAAAUGUCUAUGAAUGUGGUUCUGUCAUGAAGUUAAACACUAUACUAGAUACUUCCUAGCUGGGAGACCAUUGGCAAGUCACUUUACUCCAACCACUAAUCCUUUACCACUCAUCUGCCUUAGAAUAGAUAUACUCAGUAGUAAUUUUAAGGCAGAAGGUAAGGGAGUUUAAAAAAAAAAGCAAUGUUUCAAAAAUGGAAAUCAUCCUAUAUUAUUCAAUAGUCUUAAAUUUUAGAAGUCCUAAAAAGGAAAAAGAAGAGUCAAGCAAACUAGCUAAAACUGAUAAUUCAUCAGUAAACAGGUAGUGUUUAUUGCACAUCAAUUUUGUUUUCUGCUGUAUUGGGCCUAGUGCUGUGGGAGAUCAGAAUCAGCUAGAUGAGUCGUCAGCAAGCAUGUAUUAAGCACCUACGAUGUUCCAGGCUAUGCCCUGGGUUUACCAUUUCUCUAGGAGUUGGCCAUCCUGGGAGAGGAUAUAACAUGCAUACAACUGUGUAUAAACAAGAAACAUAGAAGACAAACUGGAGAUUUUUAUAGAGGGAAUGCAUUACAAUAAAAGAUUAAAAACUGGGAAAGGUUUUCUUCUAGAAGUCAGAAACUUUAGCUAAAACUUGAAGGAAUCCAGGAAAGCCAGGAGGCAGAGAAGGGAAGGGAAAGAGUUCCAGGCAUGAGGAACAGUGAAUGAAAACACUCAGCCUAGGGAUGGAGUGUGCCAUACAAAGAACAGCAAAGUGGCCAGUGUUACUUCAUCACAAGCAGAGUUCUUGGCAGGGAGUAAAGUGUAAGAAGUGGAAAGAGAGGAAGGGGCUAGGUAAUAGGAUCUGUAUUCACUGCCCCCCAAGAAGCUAAUAAUCAAGUUAGAAAAAUGAGAUUAACACAACCAAGGGAUUAGUCAACAACAUAGCACUAAAGUACUUUAGAUAUUUAGGCUCAACCAAAUGGAAAGGACAGAACCCAAGAAAGAUUUAGUGGAGUACUUUUGCCUUCUCUCUUCUUUUCAACUUCCUUUUUUGUGUAGCUUUCCCUUCUUAGAGUGUAAGCUCCUGUAAGACUGACUUUCUAAUUGUAUUUGUAUUCCUAGAAUUUAUCAUGGUGCUUGAUACAUAAAAAGCAUUUAAUAAAUGCUAAAAUAGAUAAACUUUUCCACCAAAGAAUACCAUUUCAAGUUAAAACUAUUAUUGUUAUUACAAUGGAGGGCAAGAAAUCCCCAAAACUUUAACCACUCUUGGGGACUUUAACACCAAAAGCAAUAAUAGAAAUAAAAACAAAUGCCUCUUCUUUCUCCAUUGAGAAAACUAUCACAAAGAAGGAAGAAUUCUAGAAUGGUAUCUUAAUUUUUGCUUAUCUAGCUUGCUCUUUUUAUUUUUUAGCACAGACUGGUGAAUUCAUCCAUUGAUUGGUAUAGAGAAUCUUAGCAUGGAAACUCAUUUACAAAUGUAAUUUGGAAACUCCUCUGUAAUUUAUCAUGUUAGAGAAUUGUCAGGGGGCACUGAGAUACUAAGUGACUUGUCUACACUUAUACAGAUUAUACCCAAAAUCACAGGCAGGACUUGAUCUCAGGCCAUACUGACUCUGGCCAGCCCUCUGUCCACUAGAACUAGAUGACAAUUCAGUGAAUGGUCAAAACCAUUCAGGGAAUGGGUCACUAGACCCACUAAAGGAAAGGCUAUCUCUCAGAUGAGACAUAGGGCCUGCUUCCUUCAAAUCAACAAAAUUUAUUAAGUCCCUAUUUUGUUCCUACUACUGUAUUGGGCACUGGGUACACAAAUACAGAAAAUAAAGCUACCCUAUGCUUAUAUUUUAUUGAGGAAGACAAUAGGUAUAUGUAUAUAUAUACAUAUAUAUGCAUGAAUAUAGUAUAAAUUUUAAGUGAAAAAACAGCAAUUGUUCAAUAAAAGAUCAUUUGAAGUGGAGGGCACUAAUAUUUGGAAGACUCAGAAAAAGUUUCCUAUGAAAAAUGGUACUAUAGCUUGGAGAAAGAAAGGAAGGACUCUUGUGAAGAUUGGAUUUGGCUCUCUCCUGAUUGUAACAAUGAAUUUAAUCUUCUCAAUCAAGGAAGAGCGAAGUACCUUCAUUGUUAGAAUCAGGGGAGAGCCAAAUCCAAUCUUCACAUUCUACAGGUAUGUGUUAGGAAGGAGUCCAUUCCUGGCCUUCUUUGUCAUUUAGAACACCACUGAUAUACCUAAAUAACAUUUUAAAUGUAUAUAAAAUUUUCAAGAUUCAUGUACAUUAACACAAUAGGGAUAAAUAUAUGCAAGCAAAAUAGAAGAGCAUAAAAUAAAUGCAUGUAACUAAUUAUAAUAGAACUUUAUACAUAUAGCACAUGUUAUGGAAUUAUUCUUCCAACCAUCCAUUCAUGGCAGAUCUGAUCUCCAGAUUUCAGCUCUCUUCUCUCCUUUAAAAUGAGUCUGGUGGCAGCCAUGGAAAAAUAUUCUAAAUCAAUUAAUUAAAUAAAAAUUUUCAAACAAAAAAAUUUAAUAAAAAAAGUAAAGUGAGUGUGGUGGUAGUCAAUAAGAAUUUAUUAAGUGCUUGCCAAAUACCAGACACUGUGCUAAGUGCUAAGGAUAUAAAGAAAGGUAAAAAAUAGUACCUUCCUUCAAGGAGCUCCUAGUCUAUUCAGGGAGGCAAUUUGCAAACAAAUAUGUAUAGGAUAGAUAAGAAAUAAUCCACAGGAAAAGGCACUAGAAUUAAGAUAGUUUAGGGAAGGCUUCCUAUAGAAGGUAGAAUUUUAUUUGAGACUAAAAGGAAGCCAGCAAAGUCGGUAGGCAGUGAGAGAGCAUUCCAGGUAUGGAGAAUAGCCAGAGAAAAUUCCCAUAUCUGAGAGAUGGAGUAUCUUAUUCCUGGAACAGCCAGGAGGCCAGUGUCACUGGAUCAAAGAGUAGUAGUAGUAGUAGUAGUAGUAGUAGUAGUAGUAGUAGUAGUAGUAGUAGUAGUAGUAGUAGUAGUAGUAGUCUCUCGGUAACCCAGGAUGAUGAUUGUCUUUGUGCACUUUCAUCUGUGAUGUAGAUGAGUGCGCACAAAGACAUUUGUGCUUGAGGGAGAUUUAAAUGGAAAAGCCGGUGCACAGAGACAGUCCCACUCUCUCAGCGUUGGAAGCCUGGGUCCAGUGGCAUGAAAAGUCGUUACACCUGGAGACUUCCUCAGCUGCAUUGGAUGGCCGUGUUGUCUUUUGUGCUCCAACACGCCCUGAGCACUCCACAGUGCUUUGCUGCGUCGCCCUCUCAGCCGUUGAACCUUCCUAUUGGUUUCUUCCGUCUGUUCAGCUGAAGCAGUCUUCACAUGCUGGGUGAGCAAAGCUCGAUGGCUACCCUCACAAGGUUUAGCCAGCCUGUCGAAGCCGUUGCCCGGGAUGUGGCCGCUGCCGCAUGCUAGCAGCUACUGGGAGCCACAAGUGAGAGCUGGGUGUCAGGUGAGGGUCAGAGGCUGGAGAGAGCUGCCCUAGGCGGGCACGACAAGCCCUCCAUACCAGAGAUACUACCCCUCCCUGAGCACCCUGUACACCCUGGAUCAAAGAGUAUGUGGUGAAGAAUAAGGUGUAAAGAGACUCAAAAGGUAGAAGUGGGCUUGGCUAUGAAGGACUUUGAAUAUCAAACAGCGGAUUUUGUAUUUAAUUAUGGGAAUGAUAGGAACCACUGGAGUCUAUGGAAAAGAGGGGUGGGGCAGCUGGGUGCCUGAGUGGAUUGAGAGUCAGGCCUAGAGACAGAAGGUCCUGGGUUCAAAUUUGACCACAGACACUUUUCAGCUGUGUGACCCUGGGCAAAUCACUUGACCCCCAUUGCCUAGCCCUUACCACUCUUCUGCCUUGGAGCCAUCGAGUCCUUACACAGUAUCAACUCCAAGACAGAAGGUAAGGAGAGAGAGAGAGAGAAGAAGAAGAAGAAGAAGAAGAAGAAGAAGAAGAAGAAGAAGAAGAAGAAGAAGAAGAAGAAGAAGAAGGAGGAGGAGGAGGAGGAGGAGGAGGAGGAGUGGGGGGAGGAAAGGAGGGAGAAGAGAGAGAAAGGAAGGAGGAAAAAAAGAAAGAAAAAGAAAAAGAGGGUGAUCAGACCUGCAACAAAGCAAGUUUGUUGUCUGUGGAGCAGACAUUCCAGAGGGCACAAUGGAAGGGUCAUGUAUCAUUUGUUUGGGACUUUGUGGUGAGUGGCAGAGAGGAAUAUGGAUAAAGAAUCAGGUGGUGAGGAAUGUGGCUACAAGGGUUCGGUCACUGAGAUGCAUAGGAUAUGACCAAGUGUGAAUAUGUUAUAUCACUAAGUGAAAAGUUCUCCUCAUCCCAGAGGAGGCUGGAAAUUAGGUAGGAAAUAUCUACUGUACAGCAAUCUACUAUUGAAGGCUCAACCAAAUGAAAGACUCCUUUUUCUUUUCUCCUCUUCCCUCAAAAGGCUGGAGAUUAGGUAAGAGAUGAAAAAAUUAAGAGAAGAAAGAUGAUUCUUUCAGAAAAAGAGACACAGACCCUUUAGUCUUUGAGUCAGAACACACUAGGGAUUUCUGUCUUUACCAAAAAUAAGCAUUCUUGAACAUCUCUUCUAAUUCCUUGGCCAAAGGGGUGCCAUAAUGGAUUUAAAGUUUAAUCUCUGCCAUUCUAGAGAUCCUUUUUUGUAGAAGAAAAAACCUAAAGCCAUGUAUGGAAGUGAGUAGUGGUGUCUGUGUAAGAGGAUGAGAUGGAGGAGUAAGACCUUGCCCUUCUCUGUUAUUGUUGUGAAUUCUUUGGAUAGGAAAUGUCUGAUAGGGAGAUUAUUUAUCAGCCCCCACCUACCCCCAAAUAUAUUCCUCCUUUUGAAGGAACCUAAACCACAAACUUUUCCAAGCAUUAAGAACUAUCUAGAACUUUGUGGGAGAAAAGGAAUUCACUGGAACAUCAAUAAGUUGCUCUGACAGCCACUUCAAGUUCAGUUUCCUUUCUGGGAGAGCCGAUUUGCUAUUUCAGGAUUUUUUUAGGUUUUUUCGAUUUAUGACACCUGUAAAUUUUUUGCAUAUUCUGCAUUUUCUAUAGAUUGAAAUAAUAAAUCUUUUGCAUGUUCUGCAUUUUCUAUAGAUUGAAAUAAAGGUUAUCCCAUACUCUA